rnacentral:rRNA from 1 species
UGACCUCGGAUCAGGUAGGAAUUCCCCAAAUUUUCU